rnacentral:rRNA from 1 species
UACGUAGGGCGCAAGCGUUAUCCGGAAUUAUUGGGCGUAAAGGGCGCGUAGGCGGCCUUUCAAGUCACGGGUGAAAGCCCUCGGCUUAACCGAGGAACUGCCUGUCAGACUGGAAGGCUUGAGACCGGGAGAGGUGAGUGGAAUUCCCAGUGUAGCGGUGAAAUGCGUAGAUAUUGGGAGGAACACCAGUGGCGAAGGCGGCUCACUGGACCGGUACUGACGCUGAGGCGCGAAAGCGUGGGGAGCAAACAGG